rnacentral:rRNA from 1 species
UGGAUGGACCAAAUCUUAGCUCAUCGAGCGAACGGACGAGAAGCUUGCUUCUCUGAUGUUAGCGGCGGACGGGUGAGUAACACGUGGAUAACCUACCUAUAAGACUGGGAUAACUUCGGGAAACCGGAGCUAAUACCGGAUAAUAUUUUGAACCGCAUGGUUCAAAAGUGAAAGACGGUCUUGCUGUCACUUAUAGAUGGAUCCGCGCUGCAUUAGCUAGUUGGUAAGGUAACGGCUUACCAAGGCAACGAUGCAUAGCCGACCUGAGAGGGUGAUUUCGGUYCACACCUKGAACUGAGACACSGUYCAGACUYCUACGGGARGCAGCAGUAGGGAAUCUUCCGCMAUGGGCGAAAGCCUGACGGAGCAACGCCGCGUGAGUGAUGAAAGGUCUUCGGAUCGUAAAACUCUGUUAUUAGGGAAGAACAUAUGUGUAAGUAACUGUGCACAUCUUGACGGUACCUAAUCAGAAAGCCACGGCUAACUACGUGCCAGCAGCCGCGGUAAUACGUAGGUGGCAAGCGUUAUCCGGAAUUAUUGGGCGUAAAGCGCGCGUAGGCGGUUUUUUAAGUCUGAUGUGAAAGCCCACGGCUCAACCGUGGAGGGUCAUUGGAAACUGGAAAACUUGAGUGCAGAAGAGGAAAGUGGAAUUCCAUGUGUAGCGGUGAAAUGCGCAGAGAUAUGGAGGAACACCAGUGGCGAAGGCGACUUUCUGGUCUGUAACUGACGCUGAUGUGCGAAAGCGUGGGGAUCAAACAGGAUUAGAUACCCUGGUAGUCCACGCCGUAAACGAUGAGUGCUAAGUGUUAGGGGGUUUCCGCCCCUUAGUGCUGCAGCUAACGCAUUAAGCACUCCGCCUGGGGAGUACGACCGCAAGGUUGAAACUCAAAGGAAUUGACGGGGACCCGCACAAGCGGUGGAGCAUGUGGUUUAAUUCGAAGCAACGCGAAGAACCUUACCAAAUCUUGACAUCCUUUGACAACUCUAGAGAUAGAGCCUUCCCCUUCGGGGGACAAAGUGACAGGUGGUGCAUGGUUGUCGUCAGCUCGUGUCGUGAGAUGUUGGGUUAAGUCCCGCAACGAGCGCAACCCUUAAGCUUAGUUGCCAUCAUUAAGKUGGGCACUCUAAGUUGACUGCCGGUGACAAACCGGAGGAAGGUGGGGAUGACGUCAAAUCAUCAUGACCCCWUAUGAUUUGGGCUACACACGUGCUACAAUGGACAAUACAAAGGGCAGCGAAACCGCGAGGUCAAGCAAAUCCCAUAAAGUUGUUCUCAGUUCGGAUUGUAGUCUGCAACUCGACUACAUGAAGCUGGAAUCGCUAGUAAUCGUAGAUCAGCAUGCUACGGUGAAUACGUUCCCGGGUCUUGUACACACCGCCCGUCACACCACGAGAGUUUGUAACACCCGAAGCCGGUGGAGUAACCUUUUAGGAGCUAGCCGUCGAAUUGGUG